GCCCGAGUGGAGAGGCAAAGGAGUAGACCUGCAAGGUUAAUCUCAGGGUUGUGGGUUCAAGCCCCACGUUGGGCA